AUUGAACGCUGGCGGCAGGCCUAACACAUGCAAGUCGAACGAGUGGCGGACGGGUGAGUAGUGUCUGGGAAACUGCAUGAUGGAGGGGGAUAACUACUGGACACGGUCGCUAAUACCGCAUACCCUCGGGUGUGCACAGAUGGGAUUAGCUAGUCGGUGGGGUAAAGGCUCACAUAGGCGACGCUCCAUAUCUGGUCUGAGAGGAUGACCAGCCACACUGGAACUGAGACACGGUCCAGACUCCUACGGGAGGCAGCAGUGGGGAAUAUUGCACAAUGGGCGCAAGCCUGAUGCAGCCAUGCCGCGUGUAUGAAGAAGGCCUUCGGGUUGUAAAGUACUUUCAGCGGGGAGGCGUUACCCGCAGAAGAAGCACCGGCUAACUCCGUGCCAGCAGCCGCGGUAAUUC
rnacentral:rRNA from 1 species